GACGAACGCUGGCGGCGUGCUUAACACAUGCAAGUCACGGGGGCCCGCAAGGGCAACCGGCGAACGGGUGCGUAACACGUGAGCAAGCUUCCGAUUAGUGGGGGAUAGCCGGCCCAACGGCCGGGUAAUACCGCAUACGUUCACUGGACGGCAUCGUCUGGUGAGGAAACCUCCGGGGCUAAUCGAGGCGCUCGCGGCCUAUCAGCUAGUUGGCGGGGUAACGGCCCACCAAGGCUAUGACGGGUAGCUGGUCUGAGAGGAUGGCCAGCCACAUUGGGACUGCGACACGGCCCAGACUCCUACGGGAGGCAGCAGUGGGGAAUAUUGCGCAAUGGACGAAAGUCUGACGCAGCGACGCCGCGUGUGGGAUGAAGCUCUUCGGGGUGUAAACCACUGUUGCCCGGGACGAACCUCCCCUUUCGAGGGGACUGACGGUACCGGGUGAGGAAGCACCGGCUAACUUUGUGCCAGCCGCCGCGGUAACAC
rnacentral:rRNA from 1 species